GCCAAGGAGAAGAUACGGGUUCGAUUCCCGCCGCUCGCC
rnacentral:tRNA from 1 species